rnacentral:rRNA from 1 species
CCUACGGGUGGCAGCAGUGAGGAAUAUUGGUCAAUGGCCGGAAGGUUGAACCAGCCAAGCCGCGUGAGGGAGGAAGGCGCAGAGCGUCGCAGACCUCUUUUGCCGGGGGACAAAAGGCCGGACGGGUCCGGUUCUGAGGGUACCCGGAGAAAAAGCAUCGGCUAACUCCGUGCCAGCAGCCGCGGUAAUACGUGGGUGGCAAGCGUUGUCCGGAUUUACUGGGUGUAAAGGGCGUGUAGCCGGGCUGACAAGUCAGAUGUGAAAUCCGGGGGCUCAACCCCCGAGCUGCAUUUGAAACUGUUGGUCUUGAGUAUCGGAGAGGCAGGCGGAAUUCCUAGUGUAGCGGUGAAAUGCGUAGAUAUUAGGAGGAACACCAGUGGCGAAGGCGGCCUGCUGGACGACAACUGACGGUGAGGCGCGAAAGCGUGGGGAGCAAACAGGAUUAGAUACCCCGGUAGUC